rnacentral:lncRNA from 1 species
UUGGCCUGGUCUUUUACAUUUCCAUAAUCUUUAAGUUUAAUGUCUAAUGUUUAAGACAAUAAUAAUUUUUUUUUUAUAAUGUUAAAUAAAAUAAAAUUAAUAUCAUGUUUUUCACUGCAAGAUUUAACCAUGAACUCUAUUAUCAUGUCACUUCAUUCUUUCCAUUCCUCUUUGAUUGAGAUAUAUGAUGAAUUUUUAGAGUUUAUUUUCCAACAUUUUCAUUCCACAGUCCUUUGAAUGAGUUCCCAUUGAAAAUAUGAACUCGUCAUUUUUAAAAUUGUGGCUUUAGCUUCACCAUCUGUUAUUCACACUUUAUUUCAUAUUGUUGUCUAGUUACAACCAAAAUUUCAAAUUCCCAACUAUGUUUUUCAUGUAGAAAUUAAUUUUUAAUUUUUUUAAGGGGUGGCAGAGAACAUCAAGGAGGCUUCUUAUAGAAGCUAUCAAGAUGAUAGCUAAGAAGAGAGGUGGAGCAAAUAAUACUCCAUGUGAACUUGGCUUCAUGGUCAUGAUAUUGCUGUUCUAGUGGUAUUUGUGGAUCAUGAGCUGGUUACGACUUUCUCCAUACAGGUUUUCAUUGAUGUUGAAUUUUCCUAAUGCCUCUCUUUUGUAGAUGAAGAAAAAAAAAUUGGGGAUACGCAUACAAGCACCUCUACUGAUUAGAGAUGAUCACAAGAAGAGCCUACUAAAAUUCAAUGAUGUUGAUCACAGUGUGAACCUACUAUAAUUCAAUGGUGUGGCCAUAGUGUUUGUUAGGAUUUUUAUUUUAUUUUAUUUUAUUUUUUUAAUAUUUUCUUUGGGCAUCAAAAUUAGAUGGCAGCAGCCCAUACAUGUUUCUUUUUACUUCAUGUCUUUGCGACGUUGAUGGUAAUCAUUUGAUUUUCUGACUUAUAUGAUUCAUGUAAUCCAUUGAUUCCAAGAUGGUUGUAUUGUCAAGAGUCACAACGAUUAUAUGAAGGAAUAUUUGUUGAAGGAGAUGAUAUUGUUUGGAAUAAUAUUCGCGGUUGGUUAUUUUUCGGGCUGAAUGGUGUGAAAGGG